UACAGAGGUCUCAAGCGUUGUUCGGAUUCAUUGGGCGUAAAGGGUGCGUAGGUGGCGCGCUAAGUCAGGUGUGAAAUUUCGGAGCUUAACUCCGAAACUGCAUUUGAUACUGGCGUGCUUGAGGACUGGAGAGGAGACUGGAAUUCAUGGUGUAGCAGUGAAAUGCGUAGAGAUCAUGAGGAAGACCAGUGGCGAAGGCGGGUCACUGGCCCGGUACUGACGCUGAGGUGCGAAAGCGUGGGGAGCAAACAGG
rnacentral:rRNA from 1 species